GCCGCAGUGGCAGAGUCUGGCCAAAUGCGCAGGACUUAAGAUCCUGUCUCCUAGCGAGUUCGCCGGUUCGAAUCCGGCCUGCGGCA
rnacentral:tRNA from 1 species